ensembl:lncRNA
UUUCCGUCCCUCCGGGCCGUGACGCGCAGCGCGGUUUGGAGGCAGAGCCGUGGCGCUGGGUGCGGGGCGCUGCCCCGUCGUAUCACCUCUGCGCACCUCUGUGGGUACCCUCCUUCAAGUAGUCUGCAACAGGAGAAAAUGAAGUUCCAUCUGAAGACGCCCUAAUACUACAGCUUCACCUUGCAAAAGGUCAUGAGAAAUUUACUGAAAUGCUAAAAAGCCAGCAGCAGAUCAUUGUAGAUUUACAGCAGAAACUUGCUGAACAGCAACAUGUAUUGGUUAGCCAGCAACGGGAGAUUCUUGAACAGCAAAGAAAAAUGUAUGAGCAAAUGGAUCUGAUCAAAGUGCAGUAUGGCAUGCUUUUUGACACAGUGAAACAAAUGUCAUUUCAGAGUUUGCAAGAAGAUAUUCAAAAUUAUUUUGAAAGUCAUCUUCAAGGACUUCAGAACCAGGUCAGGAAUCAUCUCCAGAAGUCAUACUCUGUACAUAAAGUAGAAGUGGAUGCAAAAGUGAUAAAUGUAGGGGAGUCUUUGCUGGACUGUGGUCUUUGUGAAAGUGAUGAAUUUUGCAAUUUCCAAAAGACACCUUCACAAUGUGAAAAAUGCACAUUGUGUCCUGCUGGUUUUUUCCAAAUGGCUGAUUGCUCUGCAAACUCUGAUCGGAUUUGCCAGGACAGAGAUGAAUGCACUGAAUCUCCAAGCAUUUGUGGCGAGAGAAUAAAAUGCCUGAAUACUCCAGGUGGCUUCCGAUGCCUUGGAAUUGCUGAGAAAGAUGCAGCUCUGGGAUUGUGUGGAGAAGAGUAUUUCUUUAAUAAGGAAAUGCAAGAAUGCCAAGCGUGUUUGAAAUGUGAAGAUGGAAUGGUGGCCAUGCCUUGUUCCACUGUUAGUGACACGGUUUGUUCAGCAACCAGUGAAAGCAAGCUAUCAGAAUCUUGGGCUGCAAACAUCAUUUUACCAUCUGUGAAGUCUGGCAUCUCUCAGGUCUACUCUGGCUUGAACUUGAAGAUAAGGGAAAAGCUCCACUGUGACAUCCUGUCCAUUGAAGAUCACAGCCUGAUAUUCAGGCAGCAUGGUCUUUUGUGGACUGACCUAAAUUUUGCAGUAAAACACAACUGCAGGAAUUUUUUUCAACUUUCCUUGAAGCUAAAUGGUAGUGAAGAAGGCUAUGAACUGAGUGGUGUUCGCAUUGAACAGCCAGAAGGAAAAUAUUUCCAGAGCACCAGUUUAAGCAGCGCUGCUGAGGUGGAGCCCAGCCAAACUCUUUCCGUGUUUUUGAGGAGCCCAAACCAAUUCUGCAAUCAGAGUAAAGACUUACAUAUUUAUGAUCUUAAUAGCCCACUAAGUCUGUUCUGGUUGUCUCAUGACACGGGUGCUGUGGCAAUCAGUGCACACAUGUCAACAGCAAUGCAUUACCAAACCAACUAUCGACCUACAUUUAAAAUAGUUUCUGUUUCCGACCCUUACAUGCUAAGUUUAUCUCAUGAUGGCAGAGCUAUAAAAUUCACUGAAACAGGUGUUGUCAAAUUUGUGUUGCACCAAGCAUUGUAUUCUAUGGGUCACACUUGUGUCCGGGAGGGUUUCUCCUUAAUUUCUUAUAUAAAUAGGAAUGGUACCAACAGAGAAUUAAUGAAUGUAUUUAAAUCUGGGGUAAAUUACAGAGAUACAUCAAUAUCUGCUUCUGGAGCCACAAAAGUUGCUGCUGGAGAUCUGAUUAGCUUUGAGAUACUCUCUCCUGCACAAUGUAAUGUUCGUUAUUUCGGAGAUAGUUCUGGGAUUAGUAUGUUUAGCCUUAUCUGGAUACCUUCAGCAGUUUCUAGUGCCAUAUCAGCCACAGUUUCUGUUACAGGACUGCCUACUGGAGCUGUGAGAAACAAAUUACUGGAUUUCACCCAGAUCUCAGCCAAUGAGAAACAGAUACAGCUGGUUUCUUCUGGACAGCUUGCUCAGAAGUACUUCAUUUUUACGGAAAAGGGAGUUGCCAGUCUUGCAUUUAACUUAAAGCUAAUCCAUUCAUGCAGUGUGCUCAAAGUGACUCUCAACCAGUUGACCAUGGAUCACAUGCAACCCACCAUAAUUGCUCAGCAGAUUGGAGGGCAGAUGCCAGAGGGAAGCAUAUGGACCAGUGUGACCCUCCGUGCAUCUUUUGAAGUGCAUAAUGGAACGCUGAUAUCAGUUUCUCUUGACUGUGUACGUGGAAGGAUCAAUCAGAUCACUCAUGAACAUGGAACCAGUAUAUCUAUUUUAUGGAUUUCAUCUUAAUUUCUGUACAGUGAAAAUAGCACAGAACUGGGGUUUAAAUUGGAUUUGGAUUCUACUCUGAUUCUUUGUCUGUAUUUGACACCUUACAGUGUGUCAAUGUGAACAUAUUGUCCCACUAAAGUGCUCUCAAAUUUAGGAAUAUUUAAAUAUAAUCUUAAUUAAAUGAUCAGUAUUUAAAGAAAGAGAGCUUUCAGAAUUCCAAGAUAAGAUAGUACUUCUGUUAACAUAAUCAGGCAAGGGAUCUAUGGAUUCAACUCAAAACUAUUUUUUACAAUGCAGUAUCUUGAAAUUAAUUAUUUCUGGACCACAGAGAAUUGCAGGUGAGAGUAAAAACAUAUCUUUUGGUACUGGAACUGAAAGCAGCGCAGCCAAGUAAUGGAAGUCUGCUUUCACUUUCUUCUGCCAACAAGACUAAAUGCACUCGGAGGCAAAUUUGUUUACAUCUUAUAAAAUGUUGUGCUCAAUCUUUAAGUGCCUUAAGCAUGCCUCAAAGUAGAAAUGGUAAUACGGUAACAUUGAAUUAUACUUGCACAAUAUCGUAAAAAUGGACCUCAGUCAAAAAUAGAACAUUGUUUUUACAAAACAUAAUGACUGUUCUCAUCAUGAACGUUGUAACUAAUGAUCUUUCUAAUUUAAUUUUGAAAUAAUCUGCUUUUAAGUAAUUUGGGAAGACUUGUUCCCAUUUUAAGUUGUGGCGAGUGAAUGGUUGCAUGAUGAGAAGGAAGGAAGGAAGUAUUAGAAACAUGUCUUGAAAGUCAAGCUUUAAAAGGAAACAGACUUUUAUUCAGUUUCUUACCAAUUGUGUGUUCUUUUUAUGACCAAAAGGGGACACCUUUCACAAGCAUGCUUAUUUUGCUGAACUGGUGCUUAAUUUUAGAAGUUCUUUUUUAAUUAAAUCACUCAAUUAAUUCUAAAAUGAAAUUAUGUAUUCAAUGACACUGAUUAUUGUCUUCUUCCAACUCUUCUGUCAAACUGCUCUUUCUGAUCUGUGUUUCUCUCCUUUCUUCUCCUGAAGCAUCACUACUGCUUCACUCUGUUCUUAUUUUGUUAGGAACAAACAGCAUGCUCUGUCAUGUAGCUCGACUCCUUCCACCUAUCCUUCACCAGCCCUACUAAAGAACAGGUGUGUAUGUGUGUCACAUAUAUAAGAGGAACUUUAAUAAGACAGCUGCAAACUGCCUACCAUCAACCUAUUUGAAAGUGAGACUACUAUGCAUGAUAUGACUUUACUGUGGGUGUCUGUCUGAGCACAUGUAUCCUAAAUGCAUGCACUUUUCUGUGCUCUUCACCUGUUCUGUUUUUUGUUUGUUUGUUUUGGUUUGGUUUUUUUUGUAAAAGCGUGAACACAAAUGCAGGAGUUCCAUCUGGUGCUUCCAUUUUUACUUGUAAUUUUCUAAUCAUGUCAUUAUCACUUGUGGUUACCUUUCCCUCAUCCUUUCUUCAGGUUUGAACUCAGAGAUACGCAGACUUUGGACAAAUUGUUCUCCUGCACCAAGCAGAAUGCUAGUAUUUCUUGUUUCAGCUCUUAAGUAAGUCUGAGCAACCCAUUGCAAUAUACCUCACUGGAUGCUGUGUUGAGGCCAACACAACCACAGUAAGUUCAGUCCUGGCAUCAUAUCUUCUCUAACAAACUCACCUCUACAAAGAGGUGGUUUUGUGAGGAGAGUGUCAAAGGCCUUCUUUCCCUCAGAAGCAGACAGCUCACUGCUGUAUCAGGAUGUCUGUGCUGCAAGAGAAGCUCUGCAGAGAGCAGACCUGGGUAUUUCUGCAGUGAAACUGCAGGGAAGUCAAUGUUGGAGAAGGCUUGAGAUAGGAUUCUUAUGUUUUCACUUGACGGAAAGUCAAGAAAAUAAUUUUCUCAUGGACAUAACCCCUUAUUUUUCUUGUCUGCUUUACUGUAUGCAGUUGUUUUAGAGGCUGUCAGCCCCAUUAAAAUGAUAGCUUAAGAGUAAUUCUGGAUUUAAACCUGUGUAGCAGAUAAUCAGAAUCUAAUGUAGGAUGUAAUCUAAUACAUCUUCAGCAAAGUGCAGAUGUUACUUGAAUAUAAUAAGCAUUUGCCUUUAUGUAGCAUAUAGCACAUCUAACAGAAUGAUUUGUAUGUGUAUAUUUUACGUAAGUGAGUUUGUAAUACCGGUGGAAUUGCUUGAAUAUGGAGAAGACUAAUGCUUAAAUCCUGUACUGUGCACACAGUGAUGGCACUUCCAUUUAAAUGUGCCAUUAUUAAAGGAUGCUGAAGCUACCAGGGAGCUACAAGUGAGCAUUAUUACAGCUAAGGGAGAUUUCAGAGUGUGAAAUUGUAAAUACAGUAUAUCUUUUCUGAAGAUUCUUGGGGGAGUGCCCAUAAUUGCCCUCAAGUUAAGAGUAGAUUUUUAGAUACAUGGGGCAGAAAUGUGGUAUUUUGCGGCCGUCUGGUAAUGGUAAUGAUGGUAAUGUAUUUCACAUGGUUUUGCUAUUGUCAUCUGUGAUAUUCAUAUGAUGAACAGCAACAAAAAUUCUUCUAAAUACAAACUAUUAACUGCAACUUGCAGCAAGCUUAGCCCUACUUCAGUCAAGAAAUUUGAGCCUGUUUUCAUCACUAUCUUUAAAAAAAAUACAGCCUAAAUUAAGAGUUCAGCCCACUUAGUUACAGGAACGUGAAUUUGGAGUAAGUGUGUUGGAGUCAGCUUGGAUUUAUGGUAGUAUAACUAACAGCGUAGCAUAUAGCCUUUGCCUCUAUGAAAAUGAUAUAUAUUACCUCAUUCCGUGCAACAUUAAGUGGUGCACUGCAGUCCUACAUAAGAUAAAGUUCAAAAGCAAUCAAACAAUGUACGAUGAAUACUAAUUUUAUGGCACUUAUCCCAUUUGCUGUAAUUAAUUGCAUGCUUUAUUCUUGACAGAUAUACCCUAUCAAUUAUAUUUACAACUUAGGAACUUUUUAUUUCAAGUUUUUAUAUGGUUUCUUUCUUUUAGUAGCAUAAUAUAAUGCUGUGAAGUACAGAAUUCAUUAAAAUGUUUUUUUCUUUUGCAUCUUUUGAUACCACGUUCAUGAAUACUCUUAAAAACCUGGGAGACUGUCUCCAAACCUUGUUUCUAAUGGGGACACUCAAAGUCUUGCAGAGUAAGUGCAAGUACAGAGGCUAGUGAAGUCUGUACAGAAAGCGUGGAAGUUAAUACAUCUAUGUAGAUCACUCCAAAAGUAAUGCCUCCUAUUUAUUUCCAUGGAAACUACAACUGAUACAAAGAGCACAGUAACACUGUUUGAUAGAACAAAUUCUAAGCUACAAAACAGGUAUCUUUAAACACUGUCACCACUAUUAGCCACAUGUUUUGCCAGUGAUGAACAAGAGCCUGUACGCUGCGCUUGUCAAAAUCUGCACCAGUGGAGGUGACCCACUGUCACCACUGCUGAAACACACCACCCACCCCAUCACCAUGCCCACAUCCACUACUAGGGCUCUGUAAAUGUUCAGCAAGUCAAUGAAUUUCAGUAGGUGCAAUUUGUUCCACAUGGAGGUGUACAACGACACACGUUUGUUUGAUCUACACUUCCAUGUCAGACACCAUUCUGUCAGACUGCCCCUCUGCUGCUGUCUGUCAUGGCAAAAAAUAAUGGGAUGUUGGUGGGAAGGUUCAACCUCUACUGCCAUACCACCAACAUCCACCUCUGAGAGCAUGGGUCAAGAUAAUAGGAUAGGAAGCAUUACUUUCAAAGCAGCCUUCACAGAAAGGUGAAUGUUUUACUUAUGCAGACAAUGGGAAAUGUUGUGGAAAAUGUGACUAUUACAGGAGAAGAAUAAUUUAGGUUGUGUAGUGCUGCUCACAUAAGAGGAAAAAGGAUCUGCCUUACAAAAACCAGCAUCACUUAAUAUCAACCAUUUUGCAAUUUGAGGGAGUUUGCCUGGAUAUAUUUUAUUACCUGUACACUUUCGUGCUUUCUGAAGUCAAAACUGGGUAGAAUGCAUCAACUAUUUUAAUAUUUUGGAUCAUUCCCUUUGUUCUGUGGUCUGUGCAGAUGGCAGUACACUGUGAAAAUGACACUAGUUUCAAGUGGUGCUUUUUAAUAAAAUUUCCUACUUUGAAAUAGUACCUUGUGUUUAAAAAUACCAUUUAGACACUUCUGUUAAUAUUAUAUUGUAAUACGUUUUAAGAGAACUUUGCUGAAAUAAAUACAACAAAAAAGCUC